rnacentral:snRNA from 1 species
UGAUGUGAGGGCCAUGUGGCUGCGACACCAGUCAACCCUUUGAUAGCAAGGGUUGAUCCAGCUCAUCUGGCUGGCUACAUUGGUGUCCCCUUCCUCCUUCUGAAGUUCAUGAUGAUCUUGCCUGAGAGAGGAGGACCAUUCUUGGGUCAAGGUAUACGAGUAGCUGCUACGUGGCUAGAACCUCCAAACAAGACCUCUAGAAAGCACCAGCCCUUAGGCUUCCUUUUUCUUCCAAAGGACCAGAUCCAAGUCACCCAAACUUU